rnacentral:rRNA from 1 species
UACGUAGGUGACAAGCGUUGUCCGGAAUUAUUGGGCGUAAAGGGUGCGUAGGCGGCGCGGUAAGUCGGGUGUGAAAUCUCGGAGCUUAACUCCGAAACUGCAUUCGAUACUGCCGUGCUUGAGGACUGGAGAGGAGACUGGAAUUUACGGUGUAGCGGUGAAAUGCGUAGAUAUCGUAAGGAAGACCAGUGGCGAAGGCGGGUCUCUGGACAGUUCCUGACGCUGAGGCACGAAGGUCAGGGGAGCAAACGGG